CAGGAAGUCGGACCAGAUGAUCUGGUGGUCUCCUCUGGCCUGUGACACUCGGAUCUGACUUUCCAGUUUUCCUCUGCAAUGAUGAAGGCUAGAAUUGUGCUGAGAUUGUCACAUGGAUGUGCUCUCAUGUGAGUAGUAUUUAUCAGAUGGACACACUCAAUCUGUGGUUUUUAGCCAUGCAUCUGUGGUCCAUACUUGGAUGGGAGGCUUCUAAAGGUAUCCCCGGUUAUUGCAGGAAGUGGUGUUGCUGACUCAAGCACAGAGAAAUCUCCCAUUGGAGUCUGAGGCUUAUGCUGGUUGGCCAUCAAGGAAUCCACCCACCCAUGAGGAGGUGCUGAGCUGUGGACAUCAUCUCCAGUGUCACUCCCACAAGCCCUAUUGACCAUCAGCUGCAGAACACCAAGGAAAGUCGGCUGUGGCAUUGGCCCGC